GAGCCGAUAGCUCAGUUGGUAGAGCAACUGACUUUUAAUCAGUAGGUCCAGGGUUCGAGCCCCUGUCGGCUCA
rfam:Palleronia marisminoris strain CECT 7066 genome assembly, contig: 0013